AAAUUUCUUUUUAGUUUAUUUAGAAUGCUUGCCUUCCAAGCAGGAGGUUCUCUUAUCAGAGAAAAAGAAAAAAAAGUAAAAUUAAAAAUUUGAAAAACCAAUUAAAAAAAAACAUUUUUCUAAAGAAAAAAUAAACUAAAUAUUUUGGUAAAUUAUCUUCCCUUUUGUAUCAUGGUUCAAUAAAUUAUUUAUUAUUAUUUAUAUUCCCCGAAUUUUCAGGAUUAUUUUUUGUUUUGUUUUGAACUAAUAUAUUAAAAGGUAUUUUUAUUAAAAAACAAAAAAGGCAUAGAAAAUAUAAUCAGCUGGGAAAAUAUCUGGGUGGAGUAGUUAAUUUCUGAUUAUUUGUAUAGGUUAAUCUUGUACAAAAUGUAAUAGAUAAGUUAUAUAAAAUUUACUGUUUAAAGUGAAAAGUGCUUGUAAUUAAAAAGUUUUAUAACUAUAUUAAAGUUAUAUUAAUAUCUUUUAAAACUAACUUUUACCAAAUUAAUUUAUAUGUUGUUGGAAUAAGUAAAUUAAAAUAACAAAUAGGAACUCAAUAUUUUUACAACUGUUUAUCAAAAACAUUUCCUUUAGAAAAUACUUAAAGGUAUUGCCUGCCCAAUGUUAAAUUAUUAAUGGCUGCGGUAUCUUAACUGCACUAAGGUAGCAUAAUUAAUUGUCUUUUAAAUGGUGACCUGUUUGAACGGCUUAAUGAGAAAAAGAUUUUCUUUUUGUUAAAAUAAAAUUAUAUUUUAAGGUUAAAAUACCUGAAUAAAAAAGAAAGACGAGAAGACCCUGUUGAGUUUUACAGUUUUAAACUGUUAAAAUGGGAAAUUUAGCUUUUUAUUAAAGUUUCUUUUUUGAUCCUAUAUUUUUAAAGUAUGGAAAAAGGAUAAAGUUACCACAGGGAUAACAGGAUAAUAUUUACUGAGAGUUCUAAUUAAAGUAAAUGAUUAUUACCUCGAUGUUGAAUCGAAAUAUCUUAAUGAUGCAGAAGUUAUUAGAGUAGGUCUGUUCGACCUUUAAUAUUUCACGUGAUUUGAGUUAAAACCGGCGUGAGCCAGGUUGGUUUCUAUCUUCUAAAGUUCGAUUUUUGUACGAAAGGAAUUGAUCGGAUGGAAAAGCCC
rnacentral:rRNA from 1 species